rnacentral:rRNA from 1 species
UGGGGAAUAUUGCACAAUGGGGGAAACCCUGAUGCAGCAACGCCGCGUGAAGGAAGACGGUUUUCGGAUUGUAAACUUCUUUUCUUAGUGAAGAAGCAAGUGACGGUAGCUAAGGAAUAAGCAUCGGCUAACUACGUGCC